AGUUUGAUCAGUGGCUCAGGACGAACGCUGGCGGCGUGCUUAACACAUGCAAGUCGAACGGAAAGGCCCUGCUUUUGUGGGGUGCUCGAGUGGCGAACGGGUGAGUAACACGUGAGUAACCUGCCCUUGACUUUGGGAUAACUUCAGGAAACUGGGGCUAAUACCGGAUAGGAGCUCCUGCUGCAUGGUGGGGGUUGGAAAGUUUCGGCGGUUGGGGAUGGACUCGCGGCUUAUCAGCUUGUUGGUGGGGUAGUGGCUUACCAAGGCUUUGACGGGUAGCCGGCCUGAGAGGGUGACCGGCCACAUUGGGACUGAGAUACGGCCCAGACUCCUACGGGAGGCAGCAGUGGGGAAUAUUGCACAAUGGGCGGAAGCCUGAUGCAGCAACGCCGCGUGCGGGAUGACGGCCUUCGGGUUGUAAACCGCUUUCGCCUGUGACGAAGCGUGAGUGACGGUAAUGGGUAAAGAAGCACCGGCUAACUACGUG
rnacentral:rRNA from 1 species